rnacentral:rRNA from 1 species
GACGAACGCUGGCGGCGUGCUUAACACAUGCAAGUCGAACGAAGUGGCGAACGGGUGAGUAACGCGUAAUCAACCUGCCCUUCAGAGGGGGAUAACAGUUGGAAACGACUGCUAAUACCGCAUACUGAAGGAGGGGAUUGCGUCUGAUUAGCUAGUUGGAGGGGUAACGGCCCACCAAGGGGAGGAUCGGUAGGCGUUUUGAGGGGAAGAACGGCGAAAGUGGGACUGAGAAAGGGACCAGCCUCCGACGGGAGGCAGCAGUGGGGAGUCUUCCGCAAUGGACGAAAUUCUGACGGAGCAACGCCGCGGGAGGGAGGACGGCCUUCGGGUUGUAAAGCUCUGUUAAUCGGGACGCGGUACCGGAAUAGAAAGCCACGGCUAACUACGUGCCAGCAGCCGCGGUAAUAC